UACGUAGGGUGCGAGCGUUAAUCGGAAUUACUGGGCGUAAAGCGUGCGCAGGCGGUUUUGUAAGCCAGAGGGGAAAUCCCCGGGCUCAACCUGGGAAUGGCAUUUGGGACUGCAAGGCUUGAGUUUGGCAGAGGGGGGUAGAAUUCCACGUGUAGCAGUGAAAUGCGUAGAUAUGUGGAGGAACACCGAUGGCGAAGGCAGCCCCCUGGGUCAAAACUGACGCUCAUGCACGAAAGCGUGGGGAGCAAACAGG
rnacentral:rRNA from 1 species